rnacentral:lncRNA from 1 species
AGAAAACUUCUUUCACCUUUGGAACUUUUUUUCUUAUUUGUAAUAUCACAACUGUAACACCCUUCACUUUUUCUUAUUCAGGUAGAUCUUUCUGCUUUGAGAUGAACUGCUGUAGUAUAUCCCGCUGCUGGACAGAAGUGGAAAAUCAUCUGUGUUAUCAAGUUGGUGGUGAUUCAUGCUCAGCCAGUCACGUUAGAUCUGUCAGUUAUAGGAACUCAUAUAUUAGGAGUGUUGAAAACGGAAGCUGGAAGACAGAGCUUGCUUCUCAGAGUACUCCAACCUAAUUUAUAUCAGAAAAACAUAAAAAUUCAUUUGGGCCAGAAUGGACUGAAAAACACCUGACCUGAUGGGUAACGAAUGCCUCACUGAAGCCUCAGGUCCUCUGUCAGAAUCGAGCAAGUGAGGACGGGACUGGACUGUCACACCCUGGCGUCAGCCUGUGGCUCCCCUGGGCCUUGAGAGCUGGUCCUCGCCCCAGUUCCCUGAGUGACUCCCCGAGGCCCAGCUGGGGCACUGCUCUCACACCAUCCCCCGAACCCUGCCGCUUCCCCCAGGCUUCUGGUCUUUUGUUUCUCAGACUCAAGCAAGUUGUCUUUUCUUAUCACCAAGUUCUGAUCACACAGUUCUCUUGCUCUUUCCUCUCCUCUCCCCAAGGCAGCUUCACUUCCUCCACCCAUGUUUCCAUCACAUCCUGAAAGGACCAGUUGAGAGAUUACCCACAUUCCAAGAAGUGAGGUUAACAAUCACGCAGUGUAGAUGAAGUGAUGAAAUGUCACUCCCCGAGGAAGAACAGACACAAGGGUCCUUGACCGAGGCCUACGGUGAAUUCCUUUGGCAACUGUGAUCACAUCCUGUUGCUUUUCCCUUAAAAUUAUCAAGAUAAAUAUUCUUUCAGAGUCCCCAGUGCUCAAAUAACGCAUCAGCAAAUGGAGAUCCAGUCAAGUUUGUCUUUACAACUCCACGCUCUUUCUAUGAAGCCCACAUGUGGCUUCUAGAUCCAAAACCCUCCCACCCCCAGCCUCAGCUUUCUGCAUCCCACUUAGGAACUCUAGACCUUUCUUCCACCAAAUCUUAACACCUCCACUGCAUCUUCCCUAAACCUUGAUUCUCCUGGUUCUUGUCAGCGGGUACUGAUCUCUUGCUUCUGCCUAAUAACAGACUUUAAUUCAAUGGCACCUUUCGUUCACUUUAUUGCAGCCCACUUCUGGGGUCCUUAAAAUCCAAAGCAUGACUCUGGCCAGUAGGUAGAUACUCUGAGACUGGUUUUGGCAAUGGAGGAGGUGU